rnacentral:lncRNA from 1 species
CUGAUUUCUGCACACUGUCCUUUGACCUCCACACGUGCGCAGCAUGUGGGCAUACAAAUAAAUGCAAUUGUAAAUUUUUUUAAACAAGUAGUCAGAUAAAAGGGUGAGGCACUGUUAGACAACAGAGAGUGGGUACACUCUAAGAAAAUGCAAAAUGGUUUAGUUUUCUUAAAAAAAAAAACAAAACAAAAAAAACUGGCGUUAAGUCUAGUCUCAGGAAAUUACCAACUUUUCCUUACAUGAACACCUAAGGUUAAGUCAUGCGGGAUAGCGGGCAAGUUUUUCUGUAUGGGGCUAGCCCCUUAAAAUACCCUUAUCGCAUAAACAAAGUACCCUCGCACAUUUCCACUGGGGGAAAUCCCACUUCCCGAGAACCCUGGCAAAGACCUACAGGCUUUCGCUGAGAAUUAGUGCCCCAAGGUCCAAGCAUCAACAUGUCCAAGAAACAGAUGAACUUAACACAAAAUGGCCAGGAAGAAGUUAGCUUAGAUUUACGUCAUUUACUGUAUCUACUUCCUCUUUCUGAAGCCAGAACCAUCAGUUGCUCCAAACUGAACUUGGAAAGCUUGCUCUCCUUCGACAUUUAUUUAGGAUCACAGAGUGAUUCCAAUUUGAAAAAUUCUCAGAUUCAAAUCUGGCUAAUUGACGAGACUAGGGAGUUUUCACACAGCUCUGGGGCUCUCGCUUCCUCAAAACAAGAAUUAAAGCACUCUUUCACAUGUGGUCAGCACAGGAAGGGGGAGCCAUUUACUGUAAAUGCUUCUCUGAUGCAAUCCAACCACCUCUUUCAAAGACAGAAUUCAUCCAAGAAGCCUUAGUCACUUCUAGAAAAAUGCCACUGCUCUGAAUGUACACACAGCAAACCACACGCCUAGAGACAAGAGAUGAGCUGGUUCGGCCAACAGAAAACAGAUCAACAGAUGGGGAGAGAGAUCUUGCCUUCAUCAGAUCCAGUGGUGUCGUUUCUGAGGUUGGCCUUUGAGAAGGAUGCCUGACAGACACGCUACCCUCAUUUACUGUUUCACAAACCAAGCGCAAGGAGAUUUCUCCUCUGCCUACCUGUGAAAGCACUUCCUAAACUGUGGGCCUCUGGUUUAGAACCGGGAACCUAGGCAUAAUUAGUAACUGAGCAACUAUGACUACUUAGUUAGCUAAAAACAUUUUAGAUGCAGGAAAAAAGAGGAAUACUGUAAUUUAAACCUUGAAACUGAAAGUACAACUCAGAGAGGGUGGAUUACACAUGAAGAGGGUGAGACAGGGAAACGCUGAGGAGCAGUUGGGUAGAAAAGCACAAGGAAAGCAGUUCUAAGCUCUUCAGAAAGGACACAUUUCCCUAAAACCCCAAAUCCACCAGACGAAACUAGGGGAGGAGGAUUCCCCCUGUUUCUGCUUACCCGGGACACCUUGAGUUCUUCUGGGGGCAGGAUGUGUGCCCUUGCUUUUCUGGAGGAGCCAGGGACGACUCGAGGCUGUGUUCUGCUGAAGACGGGAAUCCCCUUGAUGAGCGAAACCGCACAAGGUAAUAUAUGUGGUCUGAGCAAGCCAUUGGCUACAGGAGGCUGAGGCGUGUGCAAGUCUCAUUUGCUAGCCUCCGGGUAAGCUCCUCACAGCCCAUCAUCUCAGGAGAAGACGCAGGGUGCACUAUGCUCCAGCAGAGUCAAAACUAGACAGGGUUCGUUGUUUCCGUGGCACUCUCCCCGGCCCAGAGGAAACCACAGCCGACCACAGGAGAUCUGGCUCCUUCACCAGGCGAAAAAGAAUUAGGAUGUCGACACCGGCAAUUUACCAACGAAUCACACACCAAUGCCAGAGCUUGCUGUCUUUAUACAGACUGCCUGGGAGUCAGAUGGAGGUACAGGCAAGACCAACUUUCAACGUGUUUUUGAACUACCUGUGUCAAGACUGCCUCCGUGGAGACCGAGAGUGUGCUCUUCAGACAAGAAUUGGGGGUCACUCUCCUGUACUUAGAGGUGUGAGGGUCAUCUUUCCCGUCUAUGGAACUAAACAGUUGACCGCACACUCCUCUCCCCCUUUAUUACUUAGUCACGUCUCUUCCAUUCUUAGCAUCAGGACAACUCCAGGUAGGUUGACCAACUGUAAUUUCAGCAAAUAGAGAGUGACACUGGGUUACCUGUGUCCACUCCCAUCACCCAUGCUAGAUCUGAACAUUACAUUAGGAGACAGAGAACUGGGGAAACAAGGCAGGCUGCAGAAAACGACGGGCGAACGUGAAGGCAAGCAGAGGAGAGUGAUAUGGAUGGAUGUAUCAUACUUUGGGCUUUCAAUCAAGAACUUUACAGCAUAAAGUGACUCUUUCUAAAGUAGCCCAUGGACUCGCCAACUCAGCUCUCUGACUCUGGCAAUGGGGGGGGGCACCUGAAUGCAUUCCCUGCACAGCUGGUAGCUGGUCUUGAGUACCUAACUACUUCCAGCACCCUGGGGACAUAAAGGAUUCUUUAAAACGAGAUCAAGAAACACAGACAUGUUUAAAAUGUCAUCACCUUCCUGUAAGUCAAAUUUUUUGUGUGUUUUGUGUGUGUGCCUGCAGGAGUUUGUGUGUACCAUGUGGGUACAGGUGUCUUCGGAGGCCAAAAGCGACCAUAGGUCCCCUAGGGAGUCAACGCUCUCUGCCACCGAGCCAGGGCUCCAGCCAGACUUUGUAGUUCUCAGCUUUGCCCCCUCUUGGUUUCUACAGGUCUACGGCUAUCUAAACACCUUGGAAUUUUCCAACAGCUCUCCUUCAUCUUAACCACUUUAUUUCAGUCCUGGGGAAAUACUGGGGAAAUCUCGUCUUUACAACACGGACUUAAGAAUUUUAUGAAAUGUGAAGUAUGAAAACUUUCUCCCCACCCCCUCCAAGAGUGUUUCAUUCCUCUGCAUGUUCCCAUACUCUCUGAAUGGGGAGCCCAACUGAGAAUACAUGAAUAGGUUCUUCAAAUGCCCUUUUUUGUGUCAGGAUCAUUAUCUGCUGGGACAUUCGGACACAAAUAGGAAGGAAGCUAACACUUAACUUUGUACUCUCUACUUAUGGAGCUCUUUUUGGUGUUGCCAGUAUUUUGCCUAAUAGUUAAAUUUGGCUGUGUCAGAACAGAGAUUCUUGAACUUCAUUUUAGCAUCGAAAUCCCUUUCAUUCCCCAAAUAGCAUCUCAGGUGAAGGCCCACUGCACCGUAUCAACAGCAGGAGAACACCCUUGGUUGCCGCAGUGCAACAGAAGACACCAGCCCUUCUGGCUUAUCCCUGUUAAUGCAUAUCACCCCUGAGGUGGUACAGCCAAACUCUUUUGAUACUUCUUUAAACUAUCAAUGUAUCCUCCGUAUGCCUUUAUGUCUCAGACUGAGGCAUGCCUAGUUUUUUUCUUUUAAUGCAGGUCAAAUCUCAGGUCCAAUCUCAGACAAAUACCCUACCUACUGCAUUGAACUUCAGAGCUCUGCCACACCUUUGACAGGCGCCAACCCAAACACUAGAACUAUCAUCUCCACCUGCACUCCUAGUCAGCCUUACCCCUAGCAUAAGUUUAAGAUCAUUUUAGAAACAAACUUUUGUCAAGACAUGUUUCAAAAUGUAUACCAACACCAUCUUGAUGCACGAGAGCUCAUUACAUCUCAACUCAGAUAUGUAUAUACUUAAUUUUUAUUUGCUAGUGAGUUAAUCUAUUAGGCCCUGUACUAUGUAAUUGUCUUUCUGUGAAGGAUAGGCCCUUUACACAAAAACAGACCCACAAGAUAUUGCCCAGGGAUGCCGAACUGUCUUCACUUGCAAAGCAUACACUGUGACCUCCACAACAACGAAAUCACCUGACAUCUUUUUAAGGAUGUGCCCUUGCUCUUAACCAGUGCAUGGCUGAGUGGGAGGCUGACUUACUACAAGCAUCAGGCUCAAGCACACACAUCUGAGAGUCAAAGGCAAAGGGGAACUUAAUGUUAGGCAAUCAUUAACCAAAAGAUCUUAAUACCACGUCAGGCUAGGAGCAAAGAUCGAAACGCCAUCUCUAACAGGCGGUUAUUUCUAAGCGCUUCUGCCAACACGGAAACAUGGAAGUCCUUUCUUGUCUUCUGGGUACUGUUUUUUGGUUUUAAAAAGAUAGCUCUCACCCGAUUAAGUGGCUAUAUGUCAAGUGUAUUGCAGAAAAAUGCCCAAAGUGAGAAGAGAUGGAUGUCCAAAGUCCACCCAGGGCCACCACCAGCUUGGAUCUGGGAAGCCCCAGAGCUCCAUAAUCAACUGCCCUUUCAGAAAACACACUACCUAAAUAAAGUCAGGAGAGAACUUGAUAUUCCUGUAUCCCAAAUACACAUGGGCAUUUAAAUGAGCGGCAUUUCCAAAUUCAUGCUUCAAUCACUAUUUUCCUAUGAUUCUGAUUUUUUAGUUUUGCCCUGCAAAUGACGAGGAAACAUUCUAGCACAGUUAACAGCAUCUAAAAAGGCUGCCCUUAAUCAUGGGACACAUUCUGAGACUCUCAGUGGCUACCUGAAACCUCAGCGAGUACAAAACACCCAAUGCACAAUGAACUUUCUCCUUUGCAUACAUUUGGAUGAUAAACUUCAAUUCAUAAAUUAGACUCACUAAGGGACUAAUAAUGAUUUAAAAAAAGAUUAUUAUUACCUAUUGGUUUAGGAUUGGAGUUCGUCUUCCCUUAGGAACAGUGCUUCUAAUGACUCUCGGGGAUCCAGGGCAUUCCACGGAGCUGACUUCACUCAUGAUGUGUGCACAAUGUUCUGUGAAGAGUUGUGAAGAGCAGGUGUGAAUCUGUGGUGCAAUGCGGGUCAGCAGUGGAGAAGCAUGCAAAGAAUGACCUUCAGCUGUCUAUAUGCAAAUGUAGGAAGGUUUAGUCACUAGGGCUGGGAAACUUCCUCAGUUUACUGAUGACUGUUCUUAGGAGAAGACAGAGACUUAAAAUGCAGAUGGAAUAUGUAUACCUACUCCAUAUAUACGGGAUCAACAACACUAUGGCUUGAAAGGUCAUCAGGGAGAGAGGGAACAGUGGUCAAAUUCCUCCAAGUCCAGCAGAAAGGGGUUGUGUUGGACAUACACCCUGCACCAGGAGAAACCAAUGGACCACAGGUGUGCUGAAUGGCCACGUAUGUGACCAAGAUGUGUGCAAAGCAAUCUGGGAAGGCUCUUGUAUGGUAAGCUUGGUAAGAAGCUGGUUGUCAAUCUUCCAGGGAAGUAGCUAUUUGGUCUGGCUGGUGACUCAGAUGGUGAGAGCAUGGGGCAGGGUUCAGAAUGGUGUCAUGCAGUGUGGUCAGCCUUGUGGUGUCCGACGAUGAGCAGAGGCAAACUUCCCACAGGCAUGGGGCUGGUUCAACAGGCACAGGCCAGAGCCUUGGGCAGCCCAGUAGAGCCGAGGACUCUUCAGGUCUCGGUCCUCCUGUAAGACUCUCUAGGGGAGGGAGUUAGGAGACUGUCAUCUGAAAAAUCUUUUACUAUUAGCAUUGCUAAUUUUAAAUUACUUAUGAAAAUGAUUAAUGGACCUAGUGUGAGUGUGGAGUGGUAGAUUUCCAGUUCUGCCAGCAGGGGGCUUAGGGAAAGGAAGGCAGCUAUAUUUUUCUUCAAUCUUGCUCCUUUGGAGCCCUGUGAAGCCAGUCUGUGAUCUAACGGAGGGUUCUUCAAACCAUGCAGUAACCCAUUUGUAAUGUAAGCAGCACUUUUAGAAAAGGAAACAAAACAGAAUAAAAAGGCUGGCGCUCAUCACUCUCACGUAACUGCGUGUGUGUGGCAUGUACUUUCCCACGUUGUAAAUCCAAUCCUUUCUGGGAAAGAAAAUGGUCUACUAUCAAAGGCUGGAAAUUAUGCUUGAAAUGAAGUGGGUGUAUCACCUGUAGAAUUAAUUAGAACUGAACUAUGCCAUCCUUCUUAUCUUGGGAACUAAUCCAUAAACCAAGUUACACUAUGCUAAACGCUGAUCCUAAAGGUAUCUUCUAAGUCAUUAUUCAGUCAAUCACCCUGUAUAAAUUCUCCCUAGUGGAUGUUAAGAGAAGAUGAAGCUAAAAAACAAACAAAACACAAAACAAACAAAAAACUCCAACAAAAAACCCAACAAGAAAAAUCUACUUCAAUUCCAUUACAUAGUGUUAAUUGUGAAUUAUUAAGCAGGAUUAAAUUACAGUUAUGGCAGCUAUCACACAGUACGUGCUAUGUGCCACAGAAUGUUCUAUACAUUGGACAUACCACUGACUCCCUUCAUCUUCUCAGUAGUCCAAUAAAGAUGACACUAACAUUGUUUGUUUUACAGAUAAACAACACACAAAAAAAAUUAAGUCAGCUGCCCGCUAUGUAGUUUGAGUCAUGGAGUUUAGCAUCUCAAGACAUGCUUUUAGUCGCAGAGCCACCAGCGGCACAAUUGUGCUGACGCUGCGAGAAAGAAAACCUAAGCUACCUCAGGUCUAGCCUCACUUCUUUAUGUUUCAUGCCCCAGGGCGCAUGCACCACUCUUCCCAGAAGCGCUAACAGCACAUCCACCUUUCUCUGUGCUGCAGACUGAAAUGCAGCGACCGAAUCCCUUACCUUUCUGCAAUAAAUGUGGCUUCUUACUCACAUCACAGAGAGAAGGAAGGAGUCAGCUGCAGUGUUGGUCCUUAACUCUGUAUUAACGUCCAUUCUUAUCCCAUGACUAUGUCCACAAGCCAUUGACAUGCUGGUGAUGUGACUUCUGGGCUGGGUAUCUGGAGCUCCAGGGCUGCCUCGGUCUUUGCAUCCUGACUGGGAACCUCAUGAGCUUCCUACAGGCUCAGAGAGAAUCGCAGGUCUAGCACCGUGUGAUGGGUAUACAGUUACGAUUCAUGAAAACAUGAAAUGACAUGGGACACAACUAUUUGCCCAUGCAACCUCCUUGCUGCCUUCAGGUUACCCAGCAUGUUUUAUAACAGGGUCUUAUACAGAUGUAAGACUCAACACUAUUGUUGGCAGCGUUGAGUCCUCAGACUCAGACCCUUGGGUAAGAACCUUACUUUUUCAGCACCACUCAAACUGCAGUUUAAAGGUUAUAAUUUGGGUGUGAAGUGUUACCCCACAUGCUCAUAUGUUGAAUGCUUAAUGAAUACUGGAUAGAGAGAGCUGUUCUGAAAAACUGUGGAACCUUUAAAAGGUGAGGCCUCACUGGAGGAAGUGGGCUGCUGUGAUGGGUGGGCACGCCCUGCUUGUGCACUAGCUCCUGGAGAUGCUGAGAUGCAAGGAGUCCUGAGCCAUACACUAGCAACACUUGCAUGCCUUCAAGCCAUGAUGGACUGUGUCCCUUUCAACUGUGAGACACAGUAAUUCCUUCCUCCCUUAAGCUGCUUCUCCUGAGUGUCUGAUCCCAAUGACAAGUACCUAGUACAAACAGUGAGAAGACAGCUACGGGAGAGCCCUUCUUGCAUCAUGUGAGCUGAAGUAGUCAAUACUACUAGCAAAGGAAAGCAGUACUCAGGUCUUCGUCUGACACUUAACUGUAACUGCAGAUUUUUAUCAUGCAAGCAACUUUGUCCCCAGCCCCCCCCCCCAAGAAACCAAGUAUCUUUAAAAAUAAAAGUUAUCAAGAUUAAUAUAUUUGGCUGGUUUACACACUGUCACAUAGAGGAUUUCAGAACAGUUUAGGGUAUUUGUAAAUGUCAUGAAACCCUUGAAUAAAAUCUGGGGCUAAACUGCGGUGACCGUGUUGUCCCACACUUUCUUAUGUCUUUCCACAGAGUCUCUAGGUGACUUAAAAACUAAUAAAAGUAAUUCUCCUUUUACAACACACAGUUCAGACAGAGCACUGUUAAAAUCUUCCUUGAAUAAUACUGUUUACUUUUGACUGUUAAUUCACAGAAGAGGCAGGAAAGAUGACUUUACCUAUCCAUCAGUAAAAUGAUUUUUUGGUAUUUUAAAGUUAUUUCUCUUAAUGAACAGACUGAGCUGUUCAUUUCUACGAAAUACACAGUGUAUCUGAAACCAGUACAAUUGACAUUGACUGAGGCACACACUGUGGUUGCAAGAAAUAAAAGGAUGAUUCAAUUAUGUACUAAUAUGGCUAACCUGCUUCUGAGAAAGAUACCCUUGGGAGAAAUGUGACCCUUGCUGCAAGUGGCAUGUGGGGACUUUUGCGAUGCUGCUGCUACUCAUUCUUCUCGUCCACUUACCUGCCCGCUUCCUGAGCUGAGACAGGAGCGUUAUUUUUUUGCAAGACAGCCUGCAGAAGAGAGGAGAACCUCCAAUGUGGCAAUUAAGCUUCUUUUCUUUUAACUGACACGAACGGGGCAGGCCUGAGGUCCCCAUAAGACCCUGUCUCCAAACAAAAACCACCAUCACAAACCCCUUGCAUUUAUGCCAGGAAAAACAGCAUAGCUACCAACUUUGUAGCCAGCUGCGCUCGCUUAUAUUAAGAGUCUGGCUGAGGCCUCCCUAGAGUACAGAAAUGAGGGCAGUGUUUUUGGAGCUGAGGAAGAGUGUGCAGAACUAGGAGGACAGGGAACAUUUAAGGGAGGAGCUAUUGUUAAAGGAGGAAGCUGCUCCAGGUUUGAAAGCAGCUCACAAAGCCUUCAUUGUCGGAGGAUGAGGGUGGGCCUCUGUCCUUCCUGCCCUCAAGCUGGCAAAGUGGAAAAACCAGUGAACUAGGAUCUGAGUGGAUACUCACAAAGUCAAUAGCAUGUCUUAAAACCGUAAAAUAAAUCCGGAUGGCAUUUUUUAGCAAAAUGUAUCCUCAAAUUCUUAAGGUAAGAUAAAGAUUCUGCAACAGUCCAAACAGAAAGAACAAGAAGGGAGGGACAAUGCUACCUGACUUUUAAAUACACUAUAAAGCUAUAGUGAUUAAAGCAGUAUGGUGUCAUUAAAACAGACACAAUCACUGGAAGAUACACCCCUGUGUACAGCCAACGGAUCCUGACAAAGACAACUCAGACAUCCAAAAGAACAGGCCCCUAGAUGAACAGUGCUGAGAACAUGAAAAAUAAAACUGAUCUGUCAUACACCCUACAAGAUAAUGUGUCCCAUGGGUUGGUGAGGCAGGUGAAUGGAGGAAAGGUGCCUUCUGCCAAGCCUGACAAUCUGAGCUCCGUCCCCAGGACCAGAGUACACCUAGCCCUGUGAGCCAUCUUCUGACCCCCACACCUGUACAGCACUGCAUAAGAGUACAUGGAGUGCACACUCAUAUACAGCAAACACAUACAAUGUGAUUUUCAAAAUUAAAGUGAAUAUAAAUGGGCCAAAGACUUAAACAACUGAAUGCAUGUCAUUAUUUGGAGAAAAUACAGGGAAAGUGCUACGCCAUUCCAUCUAGGCAGGCUUUCUCGAGUAUGACGAGUAUGACGAAAGCACAAGUAACAAGAGCAAAACCGGACAAGCAGGAUCAGAGCAAGUGAAGCAGGUCAGCAUGGCACAGGAGGCGGGGCUGUGGAGGAGACCCUAGGGCUUGGGUAAGGCAGCUGUCAGUCACGUAUCUGACAGUCACACAGAGCAGGUAAGGGGUGCCCAAGGCCCAGCAGCAAAACAAUCUCAUUUCUAAAGCAGGCAUUUCUCCAAAGAAGACAUACAAAUAUGACCGUGAUGCACAUGAAUAGAUUUUCAACAUUACUGGUUUGCAAGAAAAUGCAAAUCAAAAUCACAGUGGGAACUGGGUGAGGUGAAGCACACCUUCAAUCCCAGCACUAGGAGGCAGAGCAAGGCAAGGCAGCUCUGAGAUCCAGGCCAGCCUAGUUUACAUACUCUGUUUCAAAACAAAACAAACCACAGUAGGCUAUCUCCUCCUACCUUUUAGGAGGGUUACUAUUUAAAAAUAAAAAAAAAGAAGACGACGACAACGACAGAAAAGAGAUGAGAAACUGGAGCCCUUACACAGUAUCCAUUGAUGUAAAAAACAGGGACAACUAAACAUUGUGCAUACAUACAUACAUACAUACACAUACACACAUACAUACACACACACUGGCCCAGUGCUUGUAUGUCCAUCUCCUAUCUUCCUAAUAAUCCCUGAUAUGGCCAUACCUGAAGCACUGAAACAGACACACCCUGGUACAUACAAGAGGUUCGUUUGGAAAAGGUACUCUUAAUUACUCUAUCUGAUAACUAAAUGUGGAGUACAAUUUCCAAGUAUUCACUUUAGAACUUCUAACACCAAAAUUAUUAAAGUGCUCGAAACUGCAGAGAGCUUGGGUCACUGUGUUAUUCUAUUAUACCCUCUACUUUCUUUGGUCACCACAGCUCACCCCCUUGUAAAAUGAGAAGCUCCUUAAAACUGCAAAUAGUGCUUCAGUAUUAUUUGGACCCAAAGAGCAUGAGGUUCCAAUGAGGCCCUGCUUGCCACACGAUUCUCAGCAAGGAUAGAAAAGUGUAUUUCAGCCUUUGCUCACCUGGCUUUCUGAUGUUGUAAGCAUUAGACUGAAUGGCAGUAGGUCCUCGACUUAUGCUUUCAGCUGAUGCUUAGCAUGUGGGACUCACCAAAUGAAACAUGAUUACUUACUUAACUUUGAAAAUUAGUUACUGUUUUGUGUUGUGUGUAUGCAGAGCACGUGUGUGCACGUGCAUGGGAAGCCAGAUUUUGACACCAGAUGCCUUUUUCAGUUACUCUGCACCUAUUUUGGGGGCAGGGCUCUCACUUAACCAGGAGCUCAUGGGAUUGGCUAGACUGGUUGGACCAAGAGCCCUGGGGAUCCUUCUGUCUGUCCCUCACCACCCAGUGCUAUGGUGACAGUCAUACAGCUAGCUUUUCACAUGGAUAUCCGAAGAUGUGAACUCAGGUUCUCAUGCCUGCAUAGAAGGCACACCUGUGACCGAGCCAUUUCCCUAGCCUAACAUUAUUAUUUUCUUCGUCAUAUACAUCCAGAAAAUGCAAAGCAGAUCAAAAUCCCUAACUACAGGAGACAAAUGCAACAACUUCCUUCUGCAGUUUUGGCAGCACCCUGUCUUGGGCCUGGCAGUAACAGUGGCCAUUUGCUGACCACAAUUAAUGUGCACACCAUAUCAACAGAGAUGCUUUGGCAUUCAGCCCCGGGUUCAAAACCAGCCUCUGGAAUACACUACCUCACCUCUGGUUACCUCCCUUCUAGACUCAUUUAAGCUUGGACACCGGCUUCUCUCAGAUCAAUCAAGGGGCCCUGACAAAAGGAACAGCUUCACAGGACGAUAGCCAGGAAGACAGGAAAAGUGAAAGACAUAUUUUCAAACACAUGUUCUUCGUGUCUGAGGUUACAAAACACAAAUGCAUCAUUUUAUGUUCCCUUAGGCCAACAGCUCUAUCUCCCCACGUCUGCCACUCUCUAAAGCCACUGCAAUUUCCGGCCAGUGACACAAAGCUUACCUACUGAAGAGGGACAGAGACGGCAUGAGGACACAUGGCAGAGAAAGAGAGAACAAAAUGCUGCUCUUGGAUGAUGGAGAAGGAAAUGACCAAAUGUGAACAGUUCGCUCCGUCAGAGGUGGUUUGUCCAGAGGCAGCAUCUUACUGGACCCACUGUGGACAUUCAGAGACCAGAAGAGCCACUCGGGUGAGUCCCAGCUGACUCACAGAAUCCUGCUCAAAUAAGGUGGAAUCUAAUAGGAGGUCUCUGCGGCAGUUACUCUGGGAAAGGACGACUCCAGAGACCCAGGUUGUUAAAAGACUCUUGUUGGCCAUGUGAUCUGUGCCUCUCACAGAAUGUCACCUGCUCUCCAACCUUCACCAACAGGGUCACCUGACCAUGGGACUUUCCACCUCUAAAACUAAGUUUAAAACAUCAUUUAUAAAGCACUCUGCCCUGGGUAUUUUUAAAAAUACUUAAUGAAAAUUGAACUAAUACGCAUGCCAAAUGUACUUGUCGGGCUGGAGAGAUGGCUCAGAGGUUAAGAGCGCCGACUGCUCUUCUAGAGGUCCUGAGUUCAAUUCCCAGCAACCACAUGGUGGCUCACAACCAUCUGUUAUAAGAUCUGGUACCCUCUUCUGGUGUGCAGAUAUACAUGGAAGCAGAAUGUUGUAUACAUAAUAAAUAAAUAAACUCUUAAAAAAUGU